GCCCAGGUAGCUCAAUCGGUAGAAUAUCAGACUCUUAAUCUGAGGGCCCAGGGUUCAAGACCCUGCUUGGGCA